AUUUAAGUAGUUUAUGUAAAAUUUUAAUUUGUGGAAUUAAAGAAAUGAAUUUCAUCUUAAAUA
rnacentral:tRNA from 1 species